UACGUAGGUGACCAGCGUUGUCCGGAUUUACUGGGCGUAAAGAGCGCGCAGGCGGUCGUUCAAGUCGAGUGUGAAAGCCCCCGGCUCAACUGGGGAGGGUCACUCGAUACUGAUCGACUUGAAGGCAGGAGAGGGAAGCGGAAUUCCCGGUGUAGUGGUGAAAUGCGUAGAUAUCGGGAGGAACACCAGUGGCGAAGGCGGCUUCCUGGCCUGUUCUUGACGCUGAGGCGCGAAAGCUAGGGGAGCAAACGGGAUUGAGAUACCCGGAGUAGUC
rnacentral:rRNA from 1 species